GACGAACGCUGGCGGCGUGCUUAAUACAUGCAAGUCGAGCGAGGUUACUGUUUCGGAUCCCUUCGGGGUGAAGAAGCUUUAACCUAGCGGCGGACGGGUGAGUAACGCGUGGGUAACCUACCCCAAAGUCCGGGAUAACAGCGGGAAACCGCUGCUAAUACCGGAUGCCUUUACCUUGGGGCAUCUUGAGGUAAAGAAAGGCAACGCUUUGGGAUGGGCCCGCGUCCCAUUAGCUAGCUGGUGAGGUAACGGCUCACCAAGGCGACGAUGGGUAGCCGGCCUGAGAGGGUGGACGGCCACACUGGGACUGAGACACGGCCCAGACUCCUACGGGAGGCAGCAGUAGGGAAUAUUGCGCAAUGGACGGAAGUCUGACGCAGCGACGCCGCGUGAGCGAUGAAGGUCUUCGGAUCGUAAAGCUCUGUCCUUGGGGAAGAAGGCGAAAGCUUGACGGUACCCAAGAAGAAAGCCCCGGCUAACUACGUG
rnacentral:rRNA from 1 species